GAUAAUAACAAUGGUGCUUAAUUGCUUAUGAAAAAAAUACACAUAUCGAAACCAUGCUAUUCUUCAAUUAUUUAUGUAGAAAUUUGGCCAAAUGAUUCUGGUUUUCUACAUCAGCAAGAAGUCACCUGAGAAAUAGAUUUUAUUAAGGUAUAUGGAAGUACAAGAAUUUUCACUCUUCAUAUAUGUCGCAUAAUUUCCAAAACCAAAAUGCUAAUAAACCCCUAACGAGGUUCUUAAGGCCAUCAGCGUAGACUUCCUUAGGAAAACCAUGGCCGAGGUCAAUGCUUGCUUGGUUCACUUCUGACAACCAAUUUAGUCCCCUGCCUACCUUCUAAAAAAAAUCAUACAUCCUUCUAUGAUAGAGUACAUGAUGACGAAUGAGGAAGAACCAGCCUACUACUCGCACUUAAUGGACCUGUAUAUGUGACGAACGAAGAACAGAGAGGCACGGAAACCCACUGUCCCA
rnacentral:misc_RNA from 1 species